rnacentral:rRNA from 1 species
UACGGAGGAUGCGAGCGUUAUCCGGAUUUAUUGGGCUUAAAGGGUGCGUAGGCGGAUUUUUAAGUCAGCGGUAAAAUGUCCGGGCUCAACCCGGGCCGGCCGUUGAAACUGGGGAUCUUGAGUGGGCGAGAAGUAUGCGGAAUGCGUGGUGUAGCGGUGAAAUGCAUAGAUAUCACGCAGAACUCCGAUUGCGAAGGCAGCGUACCGGCAUCCAACUGACGCUGAGGCACGAAAGCGUGGGGAUCAAACAGG